UCUGGCCCAAAGUUCCACAGU
rnacentral:misc_RNA from 1 species